AAUAAAAUUGGUGACUCAUGUGGUAACUAUAUUUUUUGAACAACUGCUAAAUUGUUUUGCAAAGUAGUUAACCAUUUUAUAUUGCUACCAACAAC
rnacentral:pre_miRNA from 1 species